GAAACGUCGGAUCUCUAUCGAUGAUGCAAUUUGCGUUCCGCUUUUCACGUCUCUACCACUAAAGACUAGCACAAAAUGCGCUCUCUCACUUCCUGAUAGUUUACAUCGAUAAAUAAAGAAACAAAUUAUUCCGAUACGAGAUCAAAUGAAUAAGCGAAUAAAUAAAAGAACG